UACAGAGGUCUCAAGCGUUUGUUCGGAUUCAUUGGGCGUAAAGGGUGUGUAGGUGGCGCCGUAAGUCGGGGUGUGAAAUUUCGGAGCUUAACUCCGAAACUGCAUUCGAUACUGCGGUGCUUGAGGACUGGAGAGGAGACUGGAAUUUACGGUGUAGCGGUGAAAUGCGCAGAUAUCAGGAGGAACACCGAUGGCGAAGGCAGCUCGCUGGGACGGUACUGACGCUGGAGGCGACGAAAGCCGUGGGGAGCAAACAGG
rnacentral:rRNA from 1 species